rnacentral:rRNA from 1 species
GACGAACGCUGGCGGCGUGCUUAACACAUGCAAGUCGAGCGGUAAGGCCCUUUCGGGGGUACACGAGCGGCGAACGGGUGAGUAACACGUGGGUGACCUGCCUCUAGCUCUGGGAUAAGCCUGGGAAACUGGGUCUAAUACCGGAUAUGACUCCACGGCGCAUGUUGUGGGGUGGAAAGCCUUGUGUGGCUAGAGAUGGGCCCGCGGCCUAUCAGCUUGUUGGUGGGGUGAUGGCCUACCAAGGCGACGACGGGUAGCCGGCCUGAGAGGGCGACCGGCCACACUGGGACUGAGACACGGCCCAGACUCCUACGGGAGGC